AUUGAACGCUGGCGGCAGGCCUAACACAUGCAAGUCGAGCGGAUGAAGGGAGCUUGCUCCUGGAUUCAGCGGCGGGCGGGUGAGUAAUGCCUAGGAAUCUGCCUGGUAGUGGGGGAUAACGUCCGGAAACGGGCGCUAAUACCGCAUACGUCCUGAGGGAGCAAGUGGGGGAUCUUCGGACCUCACGCUAUCAGAUGAGCCUAGGUCUGAUUAGCUAGUUGGUGGGGUAAAGGCCUACCAAGGCGACGAUCCGUAACUGGUCUGAGAGGAUGAUCAGUCACACUGGAACUGAGACACGGUCCAGACUCCUACGGGAGGCAGCAGUGGGGAAUAUUGGACGAUGGGCGAAAGCCUGAUCCAGCCAUGCCGCGUGUGUGAAGAAGGUCUUCGGAUUGUAAAGCACUUUAAGUUGGGAGGAAGGGCAGUAAGUUAAUACCUUGCUGUUUUGACGGUACCAACAGAAUAAGCACCGGCUAACUUCGUG
rnacentral:rRNA from 1 species